UAUCUACUCCCUCCGUUCGGAAUUACUUGUCACCAAAAUGGAUGUAUCUAGAACUAAAAUACAUCUAGAUACAUCCAUUUCAAUGACGAGUAUUUCCGAACGGAGGGAGUAUUAA
rnacentral:pre_miRNA from 1 species